rnacentral:rRNA from 1 species
GAUGAACGCUAGCGGCAGGCUUAAUACAUGCAGGUCGAGGGACAGCACAGGUAGCAAUACUGGGUGGUAACCGGCAAACGGGCGCGGAACACGUACACAGCCUUCCUUUAAGUGGGGGAUAGCCCAGAGAAAUUUGGAUUAAUACCCCGUAAUAUAGUUGAAUGGCAUCAUUAGAUUAUUAUAGCUACGGCGCUUAAUGAUGGGUGUGCGGCUGAUUAGAUAGUUGGCGGGGUAACGGCCCACCAAGUCUACGAUCAGUAGCUGAUGUGAGAGCAUGAUCAGCCACACGGGCACUGGGACACGGGCCCGACUCCUACGGGAGGCAGCAGUAAGGAAUAUUGGUCAAUGGACGCAAGUCUGAACCAGCCAUGCCGCGUGAAGGAUUAAGGUCCUCUGGAUUGUAAACUUCUUUUAUUUGGGACGAAAAAGGGCCUUUCUAGGUCAACUGACGGUACCAGGUGAAUAAGCACCGGCUAACUCCGUGCCAGCCGCCGCGGUAAUAC